rnacentral:lncRNA from 1 species
AGUUCAUUAGCAUAUGGCUCAUGUAAUACAACUGGGGUUGUUAUGAGAAUGAAAAAUUUGGCCUCUGAGACAAGCACAGAGGGUCAGUGAUGGAGACACACAGAAGAAUAUCACGUGAAGGGACAGAGACUGGACUUGUGCUGCCACUGACCAAGGAACAUCUAAGCAACUGGAAGCCACAGAACCUAAGGAAGGAGCCCUUCUGUACAGAUUUCAGAGGGAGACAUUCAUGUUGACAUCUUGACUUCCAGCUUUGAGCCUCCUGAACUUUUCAGUUGUGUAAUUCAGCAUUGUCAUGUACAGUCGUAUUUGGGAUUCCCCCAAAUUUAACAAUGACACUCAAAGAGACCUAGUUUUUGGUCAGACACAUAAAGACCUUGGAAAUUCAAAUCCAUCCUAAAAAGAUUAAAAAUGCUGCACUCCAACGAGGCCCAACAACAGGGAAGACUGUCAAAUGUUUGAGUUUUACCUUCAGGAUCCCUACCAGGUUCACAAGAAUUUCCCAUAUUAAUUAUGACAUGCAACCUACAAAGGUAAUAAGAGGAUACAGGAUGUGGAAGACAUCUUGAACACUAGAAAUCAGAGAUCAAGUUGUCAAGAGGACUGAUUUUUCUUCAGGAUUCUCUGCUUCACUCAUAGAAGAUUGUUUCAUUUCUUGUUUUCACGCUCCUCCCCUCUUUCCCUGCCUCUCUUGAACUGGGAUGAGCAGCUGUCUUGCAGCAGGUGUCCUUUCCACCAGGUUAUUUCAACCUUGGAUCCAACUGGCAUUGGAUUGACCCCACAAAAAACUGUAAGCCAAAUAAAUAUCUUGUUUUUAAAUUUUAUUUUAUUGGUACAAUUUAGGUAUACAAUAUAAUGACAUUCCUCAUUGGAAAUUUGCACCUUUACAUAAUCUCUCCUGGUUCUUAUUUUUCCCCCUUUCCCUGACCGCCCUUCAACCCCCCAUCCCUCCCUAUUUACAAAGACUUUGUUUCCAUUUUUUCAUUUUCUCACAUUAAUUCCAUUCCCUUCUGUCCUUUCCCCUACCCCUCCC